AUUGAACGCUGGCGGCAGGCCUAACACAUGCAAGUCGAGCGGAGCGGCGGACGGGUGAGUCAUGCCUAGGAAUCUGCCUGGUAGUGGGGGAUAACGUCCGGCAACGGGCGCUAAUACCGCAUACUAUCAGAUGAGCCUAGGUCGGAUUAGCUAGUUGGUGGGGUAACGGCCUACAAAGGCGACGAUCCGUAACUGGUCUGAGAGGAUGAUCAGUCACGUUGGAAGUGAGACACGGUCCAGAAUCCGACGGGAUGCAGCAGUGGGGAAUAUGGGACAAUGGGAGAAAGCGUGAUCCCGCCAGGCCGAGUGUGUGAAGAAGGUCGUCGGAUUGUAAAGCACUUUAAGUUGGUAGGCGUUACCAACAGAAUAAGCACCGGCUAACUUCGUGCCAGCAGCCGCGGUAAUAC
rnacentral:rRNA from 1 species